rnacentral:rRNA from 1 species
GAUGAACGCUGGCGGCGUGCCUAAUACAUGCAAGUCGAGCGAACAGAUGAGGAGCUUGCUCCUCUGACGUUGGCGGCGGUCGGGUGAGUAACACGUGGAUAACCUACCUAUAAGACUGGGAUAACUUCGGGAAACCGGAGCUAAUACCGGAUAAUAUAUUGAACCGCAUGGUUCAAUAGUGAAAGACGGUUUUGCUGUCACUUAUAGAUGGAUCCGCGCCGCAUUAGCUAGUUGGUAAGGUAACGGCUUACCAAGGCGACGAUGCGUAGCCGACCUGAGAGGGUGAUCGGCCACACUGGAACUGAGACACGGUCCAGACUCCUACGGGAGGCAGCAGUAGGGAAUCUUCCGCAAUGGGCGAAAGCCUGACGGAGCAACGCCGCGUGAGUGAUGAAGGUCUUCGGAUCGUAAAACUCUGUUAUUAGGGAAGAACAAAUGUGUAAGUAACUAUGCACGUCUUGACGGUACCUAAUCAGAAAGCCACGGCUAACUACGUG